AGAGUUUGAUCAUGGCUCAGGACGAACGCUGGCGGCGUGCUUAAUACAUGCAAGUCGAACGGAGCUUAGCCAGUAGUUUACUGCAGGCGAAAGCUUAGUGGCGGACGGGUGAGUAACGCGUGGGUAAUCUGCCCCUAAGUCUGGGAUAACAGAGCGAAAGUUCUGCUAACACCGGAUAUACUUUCUUUAUCGCAUGGUGAAGGAAGGAAAGGUUACGCUUAGGGAUGAGCCCGCGUCCCAUUAGCUAGUUGGUGAGGUAACAGCUCACCAAGGCGACGAUGGGUAGCCGGCCUGAGAGGGUGGACGGCCACACUGGGACUGAGACACGGCCCAGACUCCUACGGGAGGCAGCAGUAGGGAAUUUUCCGCAAUGGGCGAAAGCCUGACGGAGCAACGCCGCGUGAGGGAAGAAGGUCUUCGGAUCGUAAACCUUUGUCAUCGAGGACGAUAAUGACGGUACUCGAGGAGGAAGCCCCGGCUAACUACGUGCCAGCAGCCGCGGUAAU
rnacentral:rRNA from 1 species